rnacentral:rRNA from 1 species
UACAGAGGGGGCAAGCGUUAUUCGGAAUUAUUGGGCGUAAAGAGCUCGUAGGCGGUUCAGUAAGUCGGGUGUGAAAACUUUGGGCUUAACCCAAAGCGUGCAUCCCGAUACUGCUGUGGCUAGAGUCCGGAAGGGGCGAGUGGAAUUCCUGGUGUAGCGGUGAAAGUGCGCAGAUAUCAGGAGGAACACCGGUGGCGAAGGCGGUGGUCUGGGCCGGCACUGACGCUGAGGCGCGAAAGCGUGGGGGAGCGAACAGG